rnacentral:rRNA from 1 species
AUUGAACGCUGGCGGCAUGCCUUACACAUGCAAGUCGAACGGUAACAGGUUAAGCUGACGAGUGGCGAACGGGUGAGUAAUGUAUCGGAACGUGCCCAGUCGUGGGGGAUAAAUGCUCGAAAGAGCAGCUAAUACCGCAUACGACCUGAGGGUGAAAGCGGGGGAUCGCAAGACCUCGCUCGAUGGGAGCGGCCGGUAUCAGAUUAGGUGGUUGGUGAGGUAAAGGCUUACCAAGCCGACGAUCUGUAGCUGGUCUGAGAGGACGAUCAGCCACACUGGAACUGAGACACGGUCCAGACUCCUACGGGAGGCAGCAGUGGGGAAUUUUGGACAAUGGGCGCAAGCCUGACCCAGCCACGCCGCGUGCGGGAAGAAGGCCUUCGGGUUGUAAACCGCUUUUGUCAGGGAAGAAAAGGUUCUGGCUAAUACCUGGGACUCAUGACGGUACCUGAAGAAUAAGCACCGGCUAACUACGUG